UGCCUCUGUAGCUCAGUUGGAUAGAGCGACGGAUUCCUAAUCCGCAGGCCACAGGUUCAAUUCCUGUCAGGGGCAU
rnacentral:tRNA from 1 species